rnacentral:rRNA from 1 species
AUUGAACGCUAGCGGUAUGCUUUACACAUGCAAGUCGAACGGCAGCGCGGACUUCGGUCUGGCGGCGAGUGGCGAACGGGUGAGUAAUGUAUCGGAACGUGCCCAGUAGCGGGGGAUAACUACGCGAAAGCGUAGCUAAUACCGCAUACGCCCUACGGGGGAAAGCAGGGGAUCGUAAGACCUUGCACUAUUGGAGCGGCCGAUAGCGGAUUAGCUAGUUGGUGAGGUAACGGCUCACCAAGGCGACGAUCCGUAGCUGGUUUGAGAGGACGACCAGCCACACUGGGACUGAGACACGGCCCAGACUCCUACGGGAGGCAGCAGUGGGGAAUUUUGGACAAUGGGGGCAACCCUGAUCCAGCCAUCCCGCGUGUGCGAUGAAGGCCUUCGGGUUGUAAAGCACUUUUGGCAGGAAAGAAACGUCGCGGGCUAAUACCCCGUGGAACUGACGGUACCUGCAGAAUAAGCACCGGCUAACUACGUG